rnacentral:rRNA from 1 species
CCCUAAAAGCUUUAUUUAUUUAUUUAUUGUUUAUCUAAGUAAUGUUAAUAAGUUCUUUGGGUUCGGGUUUAGCUGGGGUAGUUGUUUUAAAGGAACUAAGAUGUUGUAUUAACACUUAUAUAUGGAGAUUGGUCUUGUUUAUACGGAAAGUCAGGUUAAGUUACUUUAGGGAUAACAGCGCAAUAUUUUUGGGGAGAUCAUAUUUAUAGAGAAGUUUGCGACCUCGAUGUUGAAUUAAGAGUUUUCUGUGGGGUAGAAU